rnacentral:rRNA from 1 species
AAGCGCUUGCAACCAGACUUGUUUUUAAUGGUUCCCUCAAUCUUUUGAUUGGGCUAUUCCAUUAUAUUCAGGCCAACAUCGGUUCGAGUGGUUGGUUAAAGACUUUAGGAAUGUAUCUACUUUCGGGUCGACUUAUAGCCCCGAGUGUCAUGCGGCCUUCCGGGACCGAGGAACGCGCUUCGGCUCGGAUGUUGGCGUAAUGGUUGUCAGCG